AGGACGAAACGCUGGCGGCGUGCUUAACACAUGCAAGUCGAGCGGAAAGGCCCUUCGGGGUACUCGAGCGGCGAACGGGUGAGUAACACGUGAGCAAUCUGCCCUUAGCUUCGGGAUAGCUCCGGGAAACCGGAAUUAAUACCGAAUAUGACUACGGUUGACAUCAGCCAUGGUGGAAAGUUUUUCGGCUAGGGAUGAGCUCGCGGCCUAUCAGCUAGUUGGUGGGGUAACGUCCUACCAAGGCGACGACGGGUA
rnacentral:rRNA from 1 species